UACGUAGGGGGCAAGCGUUGUCCGGAAUCAUUGGGCGUAAAGCGCGCGUAGGCGGCCAGAUAAGUCCGGUGUGAAAGUCACAGGCUCAACCUGUGAAUGCCGCUGGAAACUGUCUGGCUUGAGUCCGGAAGGGGCGAGUGGAACUCCUGGUGUAGCGGUGAAAUGCGCAGAUAUCAGGAGGAACACCAAUGGCGAAGGCGGCUCUCUGGGACGGUACUGACGCUGAGACGCGAAAGCGUGGGGAGCGAACAGG
rnacentral:rRNA from 1 species